UGAACUUUUUUUUUUUUUUUUUUUUUUUUUUUUUUUUUUUCUUUUUGAAAUUAAAAAUUAAGAGCAAAAAUAAUAAAAUACUAUGUCAACAUAUGGGUACAAAACAGGGAAAAAAAAAACUAUGUAGAUAACUUCACAGUUUUUAAUGUAAAUGAAUAUGUAACAAUAUAAACAUAUAAAUGUUAAAACAUAUAAACGUGGAAACCUGUAAAUACAUGCACCUUUUUAUCAACCCCUUUUUACAUUAUUUUUAACUGUUCUGUCAUUUUUGAUAAAAAUACGGAAAAAACGUUUGGAUUCAUGUAUUAUGAAACUGUAAAAAAAAUAUAUAUAUAUAUACAUGUUUAUAUGUACAUAACUUUUAUUUCAUUAUUACAUAAGUUACAAUAUACACGAUCAUAUAUAUAUAAGGCAAAAGUCAGGCUAUAUGUAUCUAUAUUAAGAAGGACAGGCCGAACGACAACUUCUGAUUGCACAUUAAAAGACAAAAUAAGUUUACAAUAAACAUAUAUACUUAUAUUUUUAUAUUGAAGAAAUGGAAAAAUCUUUAGACUUAAGCAGUUUCAGUAAAAGUGAUAGGGAAAAAAUUAUGCGAAAAAUAAACAAAGCAGAAUAUGAAGACA
rnacentral:lncRNA from 1 species